AGAUUGAACGCUGGCGGCAGGCCUAACACAUGCAAGUCGAGCGGCAGCACGGGUACUUGUACCUGGUGGCGAGCGGCGGACGGGUGAGUAAUGCCUAGGAAUCUGCCUGGUAGUGGGGGAUAACGCUCGGAAACGGACGCUAAUACCGCAUACGUCCUACGGGAGAAAGCAGGGGACCUUCGGGCCUUGCGCUAUCAGAUGAGCCUAGGUCGGAUUAGCUUAGUUGGUGAAGGUAAUGGCUCACCGAAGGCGACGAU
rnacentral:rRNA from 1 species